rnacentral:misc_RNA from 1 species
AAACUGCGAAAAGUAAUGUGAACUGCAUACUUUGUGAAUCAUCGAAUUUUCGAAUGCACAUUGCACCCUCUGGCUCUGCCUCUGGGUAUACUUGUUUGAGUAUCAUGCAACCUAUCUUGCGCUCCUUUGGGGGCCAAGGAAGUGAGAUCCAGCGCAGCUAUGCGCUGCUUCUUUAAAUGCGGAAUGGGGAGGCUUAUUAAGUUUGAGCCGCACUGAGAGUCUCGUAUUACAUUGUUGGGAUAACAUUUCAACGAGUUUGCGAGGCAUGCAAGGAGCCAUUCCAAGCGUCGCUGCGGCACUAACGUGCAGCUGUGACACGGCCUCGGCCAGCACAUUGAUCUCAAAUCAAGUAAGACUACCCGCUGAACUUAA